CGUGAGCUAACCCGUAAGGGAGGCAGCGACCUAAGGUAGGGUCAGCGAUUGGGGUGAAGUCGUAACAAGGUAGCCGUAGGAGAACCUGCGGCUGGAUCACCUCCUUUCUAUGGAGA
rnacentral:rRNA from 1 species